rnacentral:lncRNA from 1 species
ACUUGGAAGGGACCCAGUAAGGGAUCUGUUGCGCCACAGGGGUCUCCAGGGCCCUCGCAGGUUGGGGUGGUCUGAGCUAGUCUGAAGGAGGACAGUCAGCUGACUUCUCCUUUAUCUCUCUUUCCCAGGAUAGCAGGUUCCCUUGGUGUAUUACAGUUUCUGAAGUGUUGAUUCCCUUUUCAAUUGAUUCCACAGAUGACAGUCCUGACGUUUAAAAAAUUGCCAGAUAACCUUUAAUUUUUUUUUUUUUAACAGAACACAAACUUAAGCCAGAUUGCCUAGGAUUGAACCUUGGCCUCUCACUUCCUAGACGAGUGGCCUUGGCUAGUUAACCACCUUCGUGAGCCUCAGUUUUGUCAUCUGUAAAAUGGGAGUCAUAAGUGUCUACCUCACAGAGCUGUGAUUGAAAGGAUAAAUAGCACCUUGCACAUAGCGGUGUAGAAGUGCUUGUUAUUGUUAAUAUUUUAUUUACCUUCACGCAGGUAACAGCCACAACAUCUGCCCACUCUUCCCCACACCUUACUGUCCCUUGAAAUGUUUCCCAUUUUACUAUAGUAUGCAUUUUUUGGCUUCUUCCCUUUAGGGAAAUGAGUAUGUGAUAGUAAAGCGUGUCUUGGUUUAUGUCCUAGGAGUCAGAAGCUAAGAGACUCCUUUUUGUGCUUGUACAUUUGUCUUAACUGAAAAUAACCCAAGGAUAAGGAAACAAAUAGCUUCCUGAAAUUACUCGGAUUGCGGGGGUGAGGGGUGAGGGCUGGGGGGUGGUGAUUCUGUCUUCAUAGGAUGGCAGCAAAGGCCAAAGUCUUAUUUGAGUUAUUACCAUUAUUAUUCACCACACUUGCCAUCUUAUUUCAAGCCUACAGUGGCGGAAGUGGAGUAAGACAUCAUGUUGCCUCAAGUUUAAUUGGAAAUCGCGGUAAGUACUUAACAAAAUUAGUAAUAAGUCUGUUCUUUCAGAGUAGAUUUAAUUUUCAGAAAUAAUAUUAAGUCAUCCAGAUCAAAACCAGUUGAGUCAGGCUGGGCCAAAAGUGGGCAAGACUAGAUUCUACUUAGUCAUGCCCACUUUUAUAGAAAUAAUUAUAAUGUAUUUCCGAAGAACUAGGUCUGAAAGACAAUUUUGAACAAGUAGUCCUAAACAAUUCCUUGAGUAAUGUCAGCACUACUUGGAUACUGUAAAAUAUUUAUGUCCAUAUGAGUUAAAGUGUAUUUCUUUAAAAAUCAGUUGUAUUAUCUGGCAAUCAUUUAAGUUGAAUACUGAUUUAAAUUUUACCAAUGGUGAGAAUAGGCAAUUAUUCACUUAAAUAUCUGUUGAUAUUGAUUGAGCAUUUUAUAUGGCAAGCACUGUGAUAGGCCCUAGAGUCUAUAAAGUCUGUCAAAGAUUAAAAACUAAAGUCGGUUUUUCUUUAUGAGUUUACUGUCUAAUGGAGGAUUUUUCUUUUUCCUGAUAAGUUGCUAUGCAGGUUACUUGCUUGUAAUCUUUGAACCCCAUACUCACCUACCCUCUGCUUCGAGAUGAUGGCUAGGCAGGGAGUCCACAAACUACAUUUCCCAGCCUUCCUUGUUAGAUGGCUUCCUGUAAGACUCUGCCCACAGGAGGCACAGGCAGGAAAUCAAAAGGUGGAACAUGGGAAAGCUAUUGUCCAUUUAUUUUACUCUCUGCUUCUGGCAUCUAGAGCGAUGACUAUGUCCCUUACAAAGUCUAGAGCCAGUUGGAGCAGCCCCUCCUUUCCUUACCUUAAGAAAGUGACACCCUUAACAGUGAGUGAGUUUGCUCUUGUGCUAUGAUACUACUACUUCUACCUUCUGUUCCACCAGCUCAAGGACUGGUAGCCAUCCUGCAGUUUAAAAUUUCUGAUUUAAUCUUACUUCUCCCUUUUUGCUCUUCUAGCCUUCAAUAUCUGCUUAACUAUUUCUCCAUAGUGAAUGGCGUCUGUUUAAAAUACUUUUAAUUAUUUGUUUUCCUGCCUGGAACUGUACUGAUGCAGAUAUGUACUUCCAUGUAAUAUUUACAAAACUGUUGGAGUUGGGCAGAGGGUUGUUGCAGUUUGUACAAAGAAGGGGAUAUAAUUUUGAAAUCUCUCUCCCAACUAAUGAAUUUUAAAACACCAGACCACAUCAGCAUACUUGUAGAGAAUUUUACAAGCCCAUCAGUAACAUCUGUUCAUUAUGACAACAUAAAGGCCACUAGGGGGUGUGUGUGGCAGGAAGAGGGGGAAGAAAUUUCGGAAGUCCUCACAUAAAAUCCAUACUUUUUGAAGAAGCAAUUUACUUCUAGGCACUUAAUUUAAGGAAGUAAAGAGAGAUCCACAUUAUAACUUAUGCAUCUCUCCCCAAGCUCCUGGAGACUGACUCCUCCAAACCUAUACUCUACAACUCAUGAUGCUCCCCAACUUAUGAUGGGGCUAUGUCCCAAUAAAUCCAUUGUAAGUCAAAAAAUCGUUAGGUGGGCCAGGCGCAGUGGCUUACGCCUGUAAUCCCAGCACUUUGGGAGGCCAAGGCCAGCGAAUCAACAGAGAUCAGGAGGUCAGCCUGGCCAACAUGGUGAAACCCCAUCUCUACUAAAAAUAAAAAAAUUAGCCAGGCGAGGUGUUGGGCGCCUGUAAUCCCAGCUACUUGGGAGGCUGAGGCAGGCGAAUCGCUUGAACUGGGGACGCGGACGCUGCAGUGAGCUGAAAUGGCGCCAUUGCACUCCAGCCUGGGCAGCAGGAGCGAAACUGCAUCUCAAAAAAAAAAAAAAAAAAAAAAAUCGUAAGUGGAACUUAUGUUAGUUAGGGACUGCCUGUGUAGCUAGUUGCCUAUUAUACAUCUUACUAGAAUGCCCUCCACAAUCUCUUCUAUGGUUUACAUAGCUAGUAGCUACCGUACUAGUCAGCACAUGUCUAGGUUCGAGAGUAUAAAUACCUAAACCACUUAGCAUUUUAUACAAUACUUUGCUGCCUCACUGAUACAGUUCGAAUAUAAGUCCCCGCCCAAUCUUACGUUGAAUUGCAAUCCCCAGUUUGGAGGUGGAGGCUGGCAGUAGGUUUUUGUCUCCUCCAAAAAUUCAUUUUGAAACUUAAUCCCCAAUACAACAAUAUUGGGAGGUGUGGUGUAUGGAAGGUGAUUGAGUUAUAACCGGCUCUGCCCUCAUGAAUGGGAUUAGGUACUCUUAUAAAAAGGGUUUGGCAGAGAGAGUUCCUCUUCUGCCCUUCUACCCUCUACCAUGUAGAAUAGCAUUCCUCCCCUCUGGAGGUUGCAGCAUUCAAGAUGCCAUCUUGAAAGCAGAAACUGGACCUUCACCAGACAACAAACCUGCUGGCAACUUGAUCCUGGACUUCCCAGACUCCAAAACUGUUAGAAAUACGUUUCUGUUCUCCAUAAAUUACCCAGUCUGUGGUAUUUUAUUACAGCAGCACAACUGGACUAAGACAAUCUCAAACAACAUGAAUAAAACCUAAAUUUAUCAUCCACUAAAAAAAAUCAAUUUCACUCCUCUGGCAUUUCCUAUUUCAGAAAAUAGGGUCAAUAUCCACCCAUUUUCCUAAACAAGAAGCAUUCCACCUCUCCUUCAGCCUCCAUAUCUGCUCUGUGACUGUAGUUCUGCUUCUGGUUGCACCACUGACACAUACCAUUCUUCAUUUCUAUAACCACAACCUGUGGAUGACAUGUAUUCUGAUUCGUAUCCUAAUUGUCUUAUCUUUUUCCAGUCUAUCCAAUUUUUCCUAGAUAUUUGUGGAAAAUUGUAAUUUUAUCAUUUUAAACUGUGCUCAAAAUUUUUUUAUAUUUCCUCAAUAUCUAGGACAGCACUAUCCAAUAAAACUUUCUGUAAUAAUAGAAAUGUCCUACUAACAUUUAUUUCUAUACUAAUCAAUAUGGUAGCCACCGGCCAUAUGUGUCUACAGAACACUUAAAAUGUGGCUAGUGUAUUAUUAUUUUAAAAUAAAGAUUACUGAAUCUUUAAUUGUAAUUAAUUAAAUGUAAUAAGUUGUAUUUGGCUAGUAGCUACCAUAUUAGAUAGCAUAUGUCUGGGUUCAAGGGGAUAAAUUCCUAAACCACUUAGCAUUUUAUACAAUAAUUUGCUACCUCACUAAUAGAGUUUAAAUGUAUGUCCCCACCAAAUCUCAUGUUGAAUUGUAAUCCCCAAUGUUGGAGGUAGGGCCUGGUGGUAGGUGUUUGGAUCAUGGGAGCAGAUCCCUCAUGAAUGGCUUGGGCCAUUCCCUUGGUAAUAAGAACUCUCUAUCUGAGUUCAUUUGAGAUCAUGUGGUUUAAAAGUGUGUGGCACCUCCCCUUGCCCCACUCUCUGUCUCUCUUGCUCCUCCUCUGGCUAUGUGACAUGCCUGCUCACUCUUUGCCUUUGCCAUGGUUGUACGCUUCCUGAGGCUUCCCCAGAAGCCAAGCAGAUGCCAAAAUCAUGCUUCCUGUACAGCCUGAAGAACAUAAGCCAGUUAAACCUCUUCUCUUUAUAUAUUAUUCCUUAUAACAAUGCAAGAAUGGCCUAAAACACUCAGCCUGCUCUAUUCUCCUUUAUCUACCCAAUCUUAUAAGCACAUUAAGGUUUUGUCUUUUUUCCUAAACAUGGCUUUUUUUCUUGUACUUGUUGUAAAUUUAUAAUUGAGUAAGAGAAAAUUCUCCUACAAUGAAGAGAUGGGCUCCAAAGUGACUUUUCUAAAAAUACAUUUUGUAAGCAGAAAGUUUUUAUCAGGCAUACACAUAAGAUAAAAUGAGUGUCAGAAUCCGGUGAUAAGUUCUGUUUUCUUCCAGUGCCUUGUGAAGAAUGGACACUCAGUAGAUGCUUAUUGAUGAACCUGUUGGUUGAGGAUAACUCGCUAACUUUUCUGAGCUUUGUUGGAAAAACUGUGAGUACCUAUGUUGGGUAGAAAUUGGAAGACAGCCCCUAGCAUUUUACAUCAUCCUUGGAGCUUUAUUUAUAGUCAUUAAAUGCAGAAGACUCCCCAGUUCAUGAAUUUAUUGUGCUCAACAGGACAACUGCUGAGGUCUAGUGCAUGUGUGGCACAAGAAAAUGUUUAUCAAGCCUCAUAUGUCAAAUUAACGAACUACAUAAGAAACAGAAAUGAAGAUUGUUUUCUCAUCACUUGUCAAUACAUUUUUAAAGGAUACUGCGAUUACAUAGAAAUAAUUUUAUUUUAUUUAUUUAUUUAUUUUGAGACGGAGUUUCGCUGUUGUCGCCCAGGCUGGAGUGCAAUGGCACGAUAUCGGCUCACUGCAACCUCCGCCUCCCAGGUUCAAGCAAUUCUCCUGCCUCAGCCUCCCAAGUAGCUGGAAUUACAGGCACCAGCCACCACGCCUGGCUAAUUUUUAUAUUUUUAGUAGAGAUGGGGUUUCACCACGUUGGCUAGGCUGGUCUCAAACUCCUGACCUCAGGUGAUCUGCCCGCCUCAGCCUCCCAAAGUGCUGGGAUUAUAGGUGUGAGCCACCGCACCCAGCCAUGUAAAAAUAAUUUUAAAGGCUUGAUUUUCUGGAACGUAAAGUAAGAAGAGGUAUAUUUCACAGCCUGUAUAUCAAUGUCAAAUGGAAAUGUGGAGAAUUGAAUUGGAUUGAAUUAUUUUGGGAAUUUGCACCAAACAUCCCUGUUGGUUUCUUCAAAAUGACAAAAACUGUAAGGAAAGUGAGAAAUGACAAGGUAAAUAGAAUAAGAUAAUACAAAAAUGUUACAAGUAAUGUCAAUACAUUUAACUGCAUACAUGAGAAAAUAUUUAAAGGUUGAUUAGUGUAACAUGAGUUUGCUCUAUUAAUUGAGAAAGUUCAGUUCUGUAGUAGAGCACAGAAUGAGGUGGAUUAAUCCCAUAGGAUGUGCUAAGCACAGAUAAUGAGUAAGCGAGUAGCUUGUGAGACAUAGGUAGAAUUCAUAAUAUACUAAAUAUAGACUGAUAUAUGUACUAUAUUAUUAUAUUUACCAUAUUACUGUAUUAUUGUAUUUAUUAUAUUUACUAUAUUAAAUAUAUUUACUAUAUUACUAUAUUAUUUAUAGAUGGAAAGGGAUGGAAAGAACCAGCCACUUAUACCAGCCACUUAUGGUCCUACUCUGGGCCCACAUGUGCUCUACCUAAGAAAUCCUUAUAGUACCCAUAGCUUUUUGCAGGCUGAUUGACAAGUUAUGGCUGUGGCCAGGCGUACUUGUCACUGUCUCUCUUUAAUAGAGCAAGUGUGUAUCAUUGGCCCCAAGCACCUUCUGUCUGUUGACCUGGCUCAAACUUCAAUCUGACCAUCAGUGAAGAAGGCUGAUGCCGCAGAUGGAGAGAGACACAGGAUGUAUGAAUGUAGCAUAACUCAGGAUUCACCUCGUGUGGUCCUUCCCACUUGAACCCUAUCCUAAGUGUGAAAGUUACCCCAUCGCUUUCCUCUUGCUUCAGAUUAUGUGCUUUAAAGUGAUUUAAUAAACUAUGCGAUUCAAACAUCUUAAUUUGAUCUUUGAGCCUGUUUUGUGACUUCCGGGAUAGCUUGCCUUGUAGUGUACUUGUAGGUCACCAUUGCAUCAAGGUAAUUUCUCAUGACAACUACAAAAAACUUAGAAAAUAAGAACAUAGCAUUGUAUAGCAUAAAGGAAAGCAAUCUGAAGAGGAGAAAGACAGGUAGUCACAAAUUGUGUCAUUAAUAGACUGAAAGACCAAAAAAGUAAAGGACAAACCAAAAGACAGUGUGGAGAAGAUUUUUUUCUAAAUUGAUUUAUAGAAAAAGGAAUGAGACAAGAAAGAAAGACAUGGUUUGGGCAAUGUAUAAAUGUCAUUGAUCCCAAUUCUACUUUAUUUCUGAGACCAAAAUAACAGUUUCAGAGGUGACUACCACAAGGUCCAACAAGUGGACUCAUCCCUGAAUUUCUUCCUCCUCCUCCUUCUUUCUUCUUCCUCCUCCUCCUCUUCUUUCUUUCCUUCUUUCCUUUCCUCUUUCUCUCUCUUUCUUUUUCUUUCUUUCUUCCUUUCUUUCUCUCUCUCUUUCUCUCUAUUUCUUUCUUUCUGUGUCUCUCUCUUUCUUUUUCUUUUUUUCUUUCCUUUUCUUUCUUCUUUUUUUUUUUCCUCAAAAAGAAUCUCUUGCUCUGCUGCCCAGGCUGGAGUACAGUGGUGUGAUCACAGCUCACUAUAAUCUCAAACUCCUGGGCUCAAGUAAUCCUCUCACUUCAGCCUCCCAAGUAGCUAGGACAACAGGUGCACAUCACCACACCCAGCUAAUUUUUUAUUUUAUUUUUUCUAGAGACAGGGGUCUCACUAUGUGAUGCAGGAUGAUCUCAAACUCCCUGGCCUCAAGCGAUCCUCCUGCCUUGGUCUCCUAAAGUGCUGGGAUUACAGGUAUGAGCCACUGCACCUGGCCUAUCCUGAAUUUUUUUAAUUCAUGCUACAUAGCAUUACAAGUUUGUAAAAAAAAAAAAAAGUUUACGACAUUUUUAAAGACAGAAAAGUAAUAGGCUUUAAAAAUACCUAUAACUAGGAAGGAAAUGCAUAUAAAAUACUACUUUCAAUA